rnacentral:lncRNA from 1 species
CACUUUUGGAAAAAGCGAAAGGGGGAUGUGAAAAAAAGGGGGGGGGGGGUUAAAUUUUUCUCAUUUCAGAUUUCAUAAAUAAAAAAAAAAUUUCUUCAAACAUUUUUUUGAGAGGAUUAAUAUUCAACAGCAUAGUGAAUUGCUCAAAGGCAAAAAAAAAUAUUUUAAGUUCAUUAGACCACAUUCAUUCUGUGUCAGAAACCUAUGUUGUGUCAACUAUUUAAUCACAAUCCAAAUUUAGAGCUGAAUCUAGCUUGAAUGUUGUGUCCAUACUUGCC